UUUUGAAAAUUUCAUGCACUGACUGUCCUUAUCGUCAUUGUUGCCAUCUUUAGUGUCGUGAUUUCUAUUCAAGGGGUUAAGUGUCUCAAAUUAUUAAAAGACGAAAGUAUAUCAUGACUGACGGCCUUCCAUACUCAAGAGAUGUUCAAAUAAGGCCAUUUUUGUUGAAGCCAAACGAAAAAAAUAA